AGAGUUUGAUCAUGGCUCAGGAUGAACGCUAGCGGCAGGCUUAACACAUGCAAGUCGAGGGGGGAUGAUUUCUUCGGAGAUAGAGACCGGCGCACGGGUGCGUAACGCGUAUGCAAUCUGCCUUUCACAGAGGGAUAGCCCAGAGAAAUUUGGAUUAAUACCUCAUAGUAUAAUCAAGCUGCAUGGUUUAAUUAUUAAAGUCACAACGGUGAAAGAUGAGGGGGCGUCCCAUUAGCUAGUUGGUAAGGUAACGGCUUACCAAGGCAACGAUGGGUAGGGGUCCUGAGAGGGAGAUCCCCCACACUGGUACUGAGACACGGACCAGACUCCUACGGGAGACAGCAGUGAGGAAUAUUGGACAAUGGGCGCAAGCCUGAUCCAGCCAUGCCGCGUGCAGGAUGACGGUCCUAUGGAUUGUAAACUGCUUUUGUACGAGAAGAAACACUCCUAUGUAUAGGAGCUUGACGGUAUCGUAAGAAUAAGGACCGGCUAACUCCGUGCCAGCAGCCGCGGUAAUACGGAGGAUCCAAGCGUUAUCCGGAAUCAUUGGGUUUAAAGGGUCCGUAGGCGGUUUAGUAAGUCAGUGGUGAAAGCCCAUCGCUCAACGGUGGAACGGCCAUUGAUACUGCUGAACUUGAAUUAUUAGGAAGUAACUAGAAUAUGUAGUGUAGCGGUGAAAUGCUUAGAGAUUACAUGGAAUACCAAUUGCGAAGGCAGGUUACUACUAAUUGAUUGACGCUGAUGGACGAAAGCGUGGGGAGCGAACAGGAUUAGAUACCCUGGUAGUCCACGCCGUAGACGAUGGAUACUAGCUGUUGGGAGCAAUCUCAGUGGCUAAGCGAAAGUGAUAAGUAUCCCACCUGGGGAGUACGUUCGCAAGAAUGAAACUCAAAUGAAUUGACGG
rnacentral:rRNA from 1 species